CCCCUAGAUGUUCUGGGCCGCACGCGCGCUACACUGAACAGUUCAACAAGUCUUAACCUUGGCCGAUAGGUCUGGGUAAUCUUUGAACGCUGUUCGUGAUUGGGAUAGACCUUUGCAAUUAUGGGUCUUCAACGAGGAAUUCCUAGUAAACGCAAGUCAUCAGCUUGCAUUGAUUACGUCCCUGCCCUUUGUACACACCGCCCGUCGCACCUACCGAUUGAGUGAUCCGGUGAAUAAUUCGGACUGCAGCUUUGAACAGUCCCUGUUCUCGGCUUGCGGAAAGUUUAGUGAACCUUAUCACUUAGAGGAAGGAGAAGUCGUAACA
rnacentral:rRNA from 1 species